rnacentral:rRNA from 1 species
GUAGGGAAUAUUGCACAAUGGGCGAAAGCCUGAUGCAGCAACGCCGCGUGCGCGAUGAAGGCCUUCGGGUCGUAAAGCGCUUUUCGGGGAGAUGAGGAAGGACAGUAUCCCCGGAAUAAGUCUCGGCUAACUACGUGCCAGCAGCCGCGGUAACACGUAGGAGGCAAGCGUUAUCCGAAUUUACUGGGCGUAAAGCGCGUGCAGGCGGUUCGGUAAGUUGGAUGUGAAAUCUCCUGGCUCAACUAGGAGAGGCCAUUCAAUACUAUCGGGCUAGAGGAUGGUAGAGGGAGGUGGAAUUCCCGGUGUAGUGGUGAAAUGCGUAGAUAUCGGGAGGAACACCAGUGGCGAAAGCGGCCUCCUGGACCAUUCCUGACGCUCAGACGCGAAAGCUAGGGGAGCGAACGGGAUUAGAAACCCUAGUAGUCC